UUUCAGGCAGCAGAAAAACAGAAGAUCCAGGUUAUAUUAGUGGAACAUGUGAAGUUUGAAGACAAGGAUUGUAAAAAAGGAGGAUCCGGGGUGGAGUGAGGAUGUCUGACAUGAUGAAGGUUGAAGCAGUUCAUCGGAUGUUUAUGAUUAAAGAGGUUCCCCAUGAUUGGAGUCCUAGUUUGGACAGUGAGAAUCCAGAAGCCCACAUGAAGGAGGAAGAGGAGAGACUGUGGAUCAGUCAGGAAGAAGAGUUGCUUACUGUGAAGAUUAAAGAUGGAGAGAAACCUCAUUUAUCAGAGCUUUAUCAAAUCCAAACUGAAGACCAUCUAGAGACAGAAGUUCCAACCAGCAGUUCACCUGAACCUGUUGCAGAGAACUUUAGAAGGCCAGAACCAGACGGGGACCCAGAGCCUGUAUGUCCCUCCCAGCAAAGUAACAUGGCAGAUGGGGAGAAAUCAUUUGGUUGCAAUUUGUGCGAUAAAAGUUUCAGACGUAAGCAUUUUGUUAAAUUACACAUGAUGACUCACACAGGAAAGAGAGAGCAUAGUUGUGAUCUUUGUGGUAAAGGAUUUGUAGAAAAGUGUUCUCUUCAGACACAAUGUCCACCCCGGAGAGAAACCUUUUGCCUGUGAUGUUUGCUGUAGAAGUUUUCAUGGAAAGACAAGUCUUACUACUCACAAGAAGGUCCACU